UCCUCGAUAGCUCAGCGGUAGAGCAUUCGGCUGUUAACCGAAGGGUCGUUGGUUCGAACCCAACUCGGGGAG
rnacentral:tRNA from 15 species